AUGGCUAAUGACUCCCCUCACAAACCCCUCAAACCAACAAGUGGCCAGGUACAACCAAGACCACGCAAGAACAAGAACAACAGCGGAGCGCACCAUAGGCCUGCUGAAAGGGCGUUGGCUGUGCUUGUCUGGGACAGGAGGUCCCAGACAAGCACAGACAGUGUGCCUCCUGCACACUGCAAUACCAGCCUAGCAAGGUUUGCCUCUGAAAUGACAUUCCUUCAAAAGCCAUUACGUGAAUGUAAUAGAAUGUACAAUUUCCUUUUUAGGUUUGCUACAUUGUCAAAGGCUUGCAGUGCGCUCCACAACAUUGCAAUCAAAAACAGCAUUCCACUGAAUGAUCCACCCAGACCCGAUGAGCCCAUGCCUGACAGGGAGUGUUUCCCACCACCCAUAGCCCUGGCACUGAGGACAAUAGUCAAUAUCGGUUUUAGGACUGAUUCAGUCCUGAAGCGCUCGCCAAAGAGGACACCGUUCUUGUAGGCCUGGGGAUGAGGGGGUCAGGCAAAUCACCCACAUCUGUCAAGAUUUCAUGUCUAAAUAUGGUUGCGAAAAUAAAGCUUGACUUAUUAUCAUUUGGUGUAUCUGGUAUUCAGUGUCUGGGAGAGGGUCCUCAGUAUCACCAUCACAAAUGAUGCCAGACACUGGGGUCUAUCCAAUUAUGCUGCCAAUGCGCUGGUCCAUAGCAGACAGUGAAGAGUCACUCUACCCUCCUCCUGUUGCACUUAUUUCCCUUUUGUGGAUAAUUUUUUUUUUUGCAUAUGUUUUCAAAUCAAACCAUUUCUUUUUCAUUUCGUUAACUGUUCUGCACUUAGAUUAGGCAGAAUUGACCACAGCUUUAACCUGCCCCCAAGCAAUAUUUUUUCUCUUAUUUGUCAAGCCAUUGCUGAGGGCUCCGAAAAGUACGGCUUGUUUUUUUCCCACUUCAGUGAUCAAAUGUUCAAUUUCUGCGUACGAAAGUGUUUUUUCUUUGUCUUCUUUGAUUCCUCCAUGUGGGCGGACAGAAAUGAGUGACAUUUCUUGCAGCUUUAAAGGGAAGGUUUGUGACCAUAAAUGGUCAUUUAAAGGGUCAUUUAAAAGCACUAGCACAGUGUUUUAGAACGUGUCUGAUUUAACAAGGCAAAAAUACUUACAGGUGUGUGUAAAUCAAGCGUACGAGCAUUUGAGAAAUACCAACUUUUUUGUACUUGCGAACAUUCUAAAUGUUCUUCGUAUGUGUUCAUUUAGAAGUUUUUCUACGCCACAUUGAUAAAUGAGAGCCCUGGAUCUUUGAACUGUAUUCCUUAGGUGUUUGUGUUGAGUGAAGGACUCUGGAAAUGUUGACCUCUUGAAGUUUUUUAGAGCGUUGUUUCUCAUGGUGAUGAAAGGAAGAUUUCCCUACGAUCCUGGGUUCUGUCCUUUGUUUGAUCCUCAUCACUUAAGGGUGCCAGCUUGUCCACAGCACUGAGAAAUAUACCCUGGACGAGUUCCUAUGCUCUAUCAACACCCUCACUUUCCAUAACAUUAGACCAGUCUACCUAUCCUAGUAGUUUAUUAAAUUGUUAUUUGUCAUAGUUUUUGAGGGUCCUGAAGGUAUUGUGACAAUUUAACAGGUUUUUCUCACUUUCCUAGAGCAGGUUAUUAAGAAAUGGUUGAUAAUUCCAUAUGAAAUUACACUACUUUGGGAUAUCUUGUGAUUAUCUGAUACCAUAUUGAGAUCAAUGGCAGUCUGACUUAUGUCAGAGAUUCUUGUAGGCUAAUUUAUGAACUGAGUCAAACAGAAACUUUUGCAAAAGUUAGACAAGCCUUAUACAGGGGGCAGCUCAUGUUCAGUACAUCAGUAUUUACAUCACCCAGUAGAAUCACUUCAGAGGUUAGAAAGUCACAUAAGGCAGUACACUUAUUUUCAAGGAUCUCAUAAAAGUCACUCUGGUCUGGAGGUCUAUACAGAACCCC
rnacentral:lncRNA from 13 species